rnacentral:rRNA from 1 species
AUUGAACGCUGGCGGCAUGCUUUACACAUGCAAGUCGAACGGUAACAGCACUUCGGUGGCUGACGAGUGGCGAACGGGUGCGUAAUACAUCGGAACGUGCCUAGUAGUGGGGGAUAACUACUCGAAAGAGUAGCUAAUACCGCAUGAGAUCUAAGGAUGAAAGCAGGGGACCUUCGGGCCUUGCGCUACUAGAGCGGCUGAUGGCAGAUUAGGUAGUUGGUGGGAUAAAAGCUUACCAAGCCGACGAUCUGUAGCUGGUCUGAGAGGACGACCAGCCACACUGGGACUGAGACACGGCCCAGACUCCUACGGGAGGCAGCAGUGGGGAAUUUUGGACAAUGGGCGCAAGCCUGAUCCAGCAAUGCCGCGUGCAGGAUGAAGGCCUUCGGGUUGUAAAAUGCUUUUGUACGGAACGAAAAGCCCUCUUCUAAUACAGGAGGGUCAUGACGGUACCGUAAGAAUAAGCACCGGCUAACUACGUG